rnacentral:rRNA from 1 species
CGGGACGAGUAAUACAUCGGAACGUGCCCGAUCGUGGGGGAUAACGAAGCGAAAGCUUUGCUAAUACCGCAUAAGAUCUACGGAUGAAAGCAGGGGACCGCAAGGCCUUGCGCGAACGGAGCGGCCGAUGGCAGAUUAGGUAGUUGGUGGGAUAAAAGCUUACCAAGCCGACGAUCUGUAGCUGGUCUGAGAGGACGACCAGCCACACUGGGACUGAGACACGGCCCAG